GCAAACUUGGUCAUUUAGAGGAAGUAAAAGUCGUAACAAGGUUUCCGUAGGUGAACCUGCGGAAGGAUCAUUAUUAUUUGGGUUGGGUUUACUUUUUAAAAAAACGUCCUUUGGUUCUUUAAUUUUUCAAACUUUAUUUUUUGGAAAAGUAAAUCUGCACCAAAUAAGUUUUUCAACUUAUUUUCUCGCCCUAUUUAUAGGGAGGAGCAAGAUGAACUUAUUUAAAACCAUCCACUCUUAAAAAAAAUAUCUUAUAAUAUAUAUAGUAAAGAUCACUUUCAACAACGGAUCUCUUGGCUCUCGCAUCGAUGAAGAACGCAGC
rnacentral:misc_RNA from 1 species